GCCGCGCCCGGCCCAACCGGCGCCCGCCGCGCACCGCCGCCGCCAAUGGCCGCACAGUCCGUCUGCCGCCGUCGCUUUUGUUAGGCGGCGCGGGCGCGGGCGCGGGAGCAGGUGCCGAGCAGCCGCCCACGCCGCACCGCACGGUACCGCGCCGCACGGUACCGCAUCGCACCGCACCGCAUCGUACCGAGCCCAGCCGAGCCCAGCCGCACAGACAGGACAUAUGCAAAAUCAUUUUACCAUGGCACAAAUACAGGAAAGAUGAUUUGGAAGAAAGGCCAGAGGCCAGAGGCUCCAUUUCUAAUUCUUCCUCUCACCUGCUGCAGACUGUGGGAACUUUUGAGCCUCUCAGUCAAUCAGAAUAAAAAAGCAUUGUAAGUCUCAAGAAUAAAUACAUGCCUGUAACACUUCAUGGAUACUUCUGGUUCGAAAGCAGAAGGAAACACGAAUCAGAGCUCUUGCUGAGCAAAGCUUCGUGGUGACAUGUUCAUUCUGAAGACUAUAGAUGACCUUCAACUUUGUCCUUCAUUAGCAGGAUUACACCUAAACACUCGUUCAUUUUACUGCAAAUGAGACAGAUGCAAUGUGUAUUCUGUUCAGCCCCAGCAUUAAGAUUAUCCCAAGAGUGGCAUUUAUGUUCUUGUAGUUCCUUGGUAUAAAUAAAUAUCAAACUAGGAAGACCAAUCUGUACUCCACGAGGAAUAAUAAACUAAAAUAAUAUGCCAUUG
rnacentral:lncRNA from 1 species